GCUGGGCGUAGUGGCGGGCGCCUGUAGUCCCAGCUACUUGGAGGCUGGGGCAGAAGAAUCACUUGAGCCUGGGAGGCAGAAGUUGCAGUGAGCUGAGAUCACGCCACUGUACUCGAGCCUGGGCGAUAGAGUGAGACUCUGUCUUAA
rfam:Macaca mulatta chromosome 19, whole genome shotgun sequence.